CGUGAGUGAUGAAGGCUUUCGGGUCGUAAAGCUCUGUCAAGUGGGAAGAACCUAUAUAAUGUUAAUACCAUUAUAUAUUGACGGUACCACUGAAGGAAGCACCGGCUAACUCCGUGCCAGCAGCCGCGGUAAUACGGGGGGUGCAAGCGUUAUUCGGAAUCAUUGGGCGUAAAGAGCACGUAGGCGGCCUGGUAAGUCAGAUGUGAAAGCCCGGGGCUUAACCUCGGAAGUGCAUUUGAUACUGCCAGGCUUGAGUAUGGGAGAGGGAAGUGGAAUUCCUGGUGUAGAGGUGAAAUUCGUAGAUAUCAGGGGGAACACCGGUGGCGAAGGCGACUUCCUGGACCAAUACUGACGCUGAGGUGCGAAGGCGUGGGUAGCAAACAGGAUUAGAUACCCUGGUAGUCCACGCAGUAAACGUUGAUCACUAGGUGUAGCGGGUAUUGACCCCUGCUGUGCCGCAGUUAACGCAUUAA
rnacentral:rRNA from 1 species